rnacentral:rRNA from 1 species
UACAGAGGGGGCAAGCGUUGUUCGGAAUUACUGGGCGUAAAGGGCGCGUAGGCGGCCUGUUAAGUCGAACGUGAAAUCCCCGGGCUCAACCCGGGAACUGCGUCCGAUACUGGCAGGCUUGAAUUCGGGAGAGGGAUGCGGAAUUCCAGGUGUAGCGGUGAAAUGCGUAGAUAUCGGGAGGAACACCAGUGGCGAAGGCGGCUUCCUGGACCGGUUCUGACACUGAGGAGCGAAAGCGUGGGGAGCGAUCCGG